rnacentral:rRNA from 1 species
CAGCAGCCACGGGAACACGAAGGGUGCAAGCGUUAAUCGGAAUUACUGGGCGUAAAGCGUGCGUAGGCGGUGAGUUAAGUCUGCUGUGAAAUCCCCGGGCUCAACCUGGGAAUGGCAGUGGAUACUGGCUCGCUAGAGUGUGUCAGAGGAUGGUGGAAUUCCCGGUGUAGCGGUGAAAUGCGUAGAGAUCGGGAGGAACAUCAGUGGCGAAGGCGGCCAUCUGGGCCAACACUGACACUGAGGCACGAAAGCGUGGGGAGCAAACAGGAUUAGAUACCCCAGUAGUCCCUGUCUCUUAUAA